rnacentral:tRNA from 1 species
AAACAGUAAGCAAUUUCUGCACGUCGAUUUCGACUCGACGAGAGCGCCUACACGCAUUGUUUU